GCGGGUGUAGUUCAAUGGUAGAACACCAGCUUCCCAAGCUGGAUACGUGGGUUCGAUUCCCAUCACCCGCUCCA
rnacentral:tRNA from 3 species